GUCAGACGACAAAAAGGAAGACAGACAGGAAACAGGAGUGCAGAGGAGAGCGCAGACGACGGCUAAAAAGUCAUUUCCCAUGUGCUACAUAUCGUCUGGGUCCUUUUCAAUUCUAAUCCUUAUAUGUACCUUUGGACCCCAUGGCUCGGGGCCUUUGGCUUCGGCUUUGAUUCGACGGCUUAGCGUUGACAUGGCUGUCGAUGGGACAGCCUGAUUUAUGUGGCCCAGUCCUUGGGCAAAUCUCAAUCAAAUUGCUUGUGGCAACUGCAAAAGAGCCACCGGCAAGCUCUAUAAAUUCUGCAUAAGUCAUCGGAUUCGUUACGUUUCAUCUUUUAGGCCGAACAGCGAAUUUAGUCUGUGGUUAGGGUACUUAAACGAAUCUG